UGUGAUGUCGCGCGUUGCCCCAUGGGAGUUGUAGUCUUUGGCGGCGGCGCCGCGGAAGUGACUCAGCAGCGCCGGGUACAAGCAGCUCCCCAACAAGUGGCUGAAGACAAAUUUGUAUUUGAUUUACCCGACUAUGAAAAUAUCAACCAUGUAGUGGUCUUCAUGCUGGGAACUAUACCAUUUCCAGAAGGAAUGGGAGGAUCUGUCUAUUUUUGUUAUCCAGACCAGAGUGGGAUGGCAGUCUGGCAGCUGCUGGGGUUUGUCACCAAUGAGAAGCCAAGUGCCAUCUUCAAAAUUUCUGGUCUGAAAUCUGGGAAGGGAAGUCAACAUCCCUUUGGUGCCAUGAACCUCCCACAGACGCCAACAGUGGCCCAGAUUGGAAUCUCAGUGGAACUGCUGGAGAACCUGGCUCAGCAGACUCCUGUUGCAAGUGCUGCUGUGUCAUCAGUAGAUUCAUUCACAGAGUUCUUUCUCUGUGGAUCAGGCCUUGCACUACAACAUGUGCCAUUUUUUUACCCAGCCUGUUAGUUUGAACCUCUGGAAAUCCACAACCAGCUCUGGCAGUUAGUUGACCGUCUAACAGCAGUUCAAGUUUAGGAGUGUCCUGUGUAUCUUUUUCAUGUUUUCCCCUGCAAGAUUUUGUGGCGAAGGAUGUCGGGAUAGCAGUCCUUCUGUGGUGAAUGCUGAAGGAAAUUGCCCUGUCACUGGAGUCUGAUGAGUUGUAACGAGAGAGACUGCAGAGUUUUCAGCUGGUUUAACAACUAGUGUUUUGCUGGUAGCUGGAAUGGCAGCAUUGACCUGGUCUGCAGGUCUUCUGAUGGUUUAAUUUGGCAGAGAGGGACAGCUCUUGUCACUGCAUCACUUCUUUUUCACAAACAGAAAAUGUUCUUUCCCAAAGCUGUUUAUCCACUUGGAUGAAAUAGAGCAGGGAGAGGGCAAGCGGAGAUACUGAAAAUGAUUUAUGGAUACUGGAUGUAUCUGAGGGUAAGACUGAGAAUUAAAAUGUUUUGAUCAAUUUAAAA